UCAUAGACAAUUACGAAAACUUUACCAAGCAGGCCUCAGAGAAAGCUGCCCUCUCCAGUCUAAACCUGGUGUGUAGUCAAUACAGUGCAGUCUCUGAAGGGAGUUACAGCCAAGGACUCAGUCUCCCUGGCCAUAUUUUUCACAUGUUUGUAUUCCUAGCCCUGGUGGGCGCCUUCAUUUCAAGGUCCUCUUACCUGAGGCCUUAGGCAGUGCCUCUGGGAGUCCUCCUUAUGGGAGGGAAGAGGAGCAAACCUCAAAGACAUUUUUCUUUAAUCUGACUUAGUACUUUUCCACCCCUAACUCUCCCCCUCACUUUCCCUCUGACCACAGGGUUCAUAAAACUACCGGAGUCUUUUAUUUGGGACUCCUUCAAUAGUGAGAUGACCCCCACUUCUACACUGGUCCGCCUGACCCUUGACUCCUGUGCCGUUCUGUGGGAGGGAAAUGGAACAAGAUGCAUGGUACUGUGGAGGCCACUAAGAAGGGGAAUUGACUUACGUGGGAGAAUAUGGAUUAUACCAGACUUUCAACCAAAACAGUUGGCUAAAGAGUAUACAACACAGUUCUGUGCCCACAUAAUGACAUAGAACUUGUACAGAGAUAUGUGCUCACUUCCUUGUACUGCCAGUGAUCUAAAAUAGGGUCCCAGACAAAGGAAAGUAUUCCAUAGCCAAACCUACCAUUUGCCCGCUGGAUCAUGAUACCUCCUUUCUGGGAUACUUGGGGUGAGAACAUACAGUGUUUGGAGUCCUUAUCUUCAGAACUGAAUUGGACUAUUCUUUUGCAUUAUGGACUCUCUGAAGAAGAGAAGGAUACAGGCAACCUGGAGUUAGACUGAGAGGCCUCUUGAGAUCAGCCUGAACUUGGAGUUUUCAGAGCUCCAGUAGAGGGUAGUACCCUCUACUGGAAUGGUGAAGGAAAGACCACUGUGGAUAUGGCCAGCAGAAGAUAAGAUGUGCUGGCUUUCUAGGCCAUGGUGUCAGGAAGGUGGGGCUAGAGCAUUCAUGUAUUCAUUCUUUUAUUCAACAAAUAUGUAUUUAUUACCUGUGUAAUAAAUUUUAAUAAAUUUUAUUCAACAAAUAUGUAUUUAUUAUAUGUGUACACUGUACUACCCAACGCAAACACUGGGUUAUAGUA